rnacentral:rRNA from 1 species
CUUAUCCAGCCACCACCCACGAUCCUCUCUCUCUCUUUGCUCACGAUCCCCUCUCUCUCUUAUCUCUCUCUGACUCUCGAUCCGAUCCAGAGCUCGCCGAUGCGCUUGCCUAGACCUCACCGGCCACCACGUCAACAGAUCCUCCUGGCGCCCCGUUCCCGAGCUCCUCUCCUCCGCUCCCGCGCCCUGCCCUGCUACUCGGCCGGAGCUCGCUGGAGCAAGCGGCGACCAGGCCAGCCGCACCUCGCCGGCUCCGGUCCCAUCCCCGUCGCCUCGGCAACUAGGCUAGCCGCAGCUCGCCGGCCCCGUCUCCUCGCGCGCCUCUCCAGCCCCGACCCCACCCCGCCGGCCCCGGCCCCGACCUCAUCGCCCCCACCAGCCCGACCCCACCCGCCGCCGCCUCGCGCGCCGCACUGCACCGGCCACCGCUAGCCGUGGCAAAUUCUCCAUAGAUGAUUGUUGUAUUUCCUGUCUGUAUGAUCUAUAGUACGUGGUGAUUUGAGUACGCGAUUGAUUUUGUGCUCCGAACGGCAAGGAUUUUGUUUUUACUCAUCAAUAGAAGAUUAUCAGACUACUUGAACAUGGCACAAGUGAACUAUUAUCA